AGUGAACGCUGGCGGUAGGCCUAACACAUGCAAGCCGAGCGGCAGCACAGUAAGAGCUUGCUCUUACGGGUGGCGAGUGGCGGACGGGUGAGGAAUACAUCGGAAUCUACUUUUUCGUGGGGGAUAACGUAGGGAAACUUACGCUAAUACCGCAUACGACCUACGGGUGAAAGCAGGGGAUCUUCGGACCUUGCGCGAUUGAAUGAGCCGAUGUCGGAUUAGCUAGUUGGCGGGGUAAAGGCCCACCAAGGCGACGAUCCGUAGCUGGUCUGAGAGGAUGAUCAGCCACACUGGAACUGAGACACGGUCCAGACUCCUACGGGAGGCAGCAGUGGGGAAUAUUGGACAAUGGGCGCAAGCCUGAUCCAGCCAUACCGCGUGGGUGAAGAAGGCCUUCGGGUUGUAAAGCCCUUUUGUUGGGAAAGAAAAGCAGCAGGUUAAUACCCCGCUGUUCUGACGGUACCCAAAGAAUAAGCACCGGCUAACUUCGUG
rnacentral:rRNA from 1 species